CCCUCCCCGGGCCCCCGAGGUUGGGGCAGCUCAGGGGGUGGGGACGCCGCGCGCCACCAGCGUCUGCCACGAGUGGCGCUUGCCCCGGGCUGCAAGAAAAGUUGCGAGCAGAGCCUGGAAGAGGGAGAGCUGGGGGACCUGCCUGAAAGGGCAGAGUCCAUGAUGGCUGAGUGAAGGAAUAGCUGAGAACUCACAUCCUGAGACACAACCCUGAUGCAGAGAGAAAGAAGUUUACCUGCGUACAGGUGUGUUGGUGUGUGGAGGUUGAAAGUGGGAUGUCAUCUCCUUUGCUUCUCCACUUUGUCGUUUUGAGACAGGAUCUCUGACCUAACCUGCCCCAGCAAGCCCCAGGAACCUGCCUGUGUCUGUGACCCCCAUCAAUGGAAUCAUAAGCGUGUGGCACCAUCACUCGGCAUUUACAUGGGCCUGGAGAACAGCCCAUGAAAUUUGAGAGUAAUAGCAAGAAAAGAAAAAUAGACUAUGAUUGAUAGAUGGCAUGGGAGUUUCUUGGAGAGAUGUGGACGACCAUGUGAAAUAAUACACUACUACUGAAGAACAAAAGUUUGGCGCUUACUGCUGGCUCAAGUGUUCAUUAGCUAUUUGACCUUGUCAAGUACUAAUUUUCAGAGUAUUUGCUUUACCUCUGUAAUGUAAAUAAAAACCCUUCCAUAGGAAUAUUGUGAGAAAUAAAUAGGAUCAUAGCACAGUCCCUGGAAACCCACCAACUUUCAGUAAACAUUAGUUCCUUUCAUAUCCAGUCCUUUCUCACUAGAGGGUGGAAAUUUUCCAGUUGUUUUCAGACACCAGAGGCAUAUAAUUUGUGGUAGUUCAUAGAUACAUUCUUAUCAUUGUAGACAUAUGGUAAUGUUCAAAAAGUUGAGAUAUUAUUGUAUCUUUCAAAAUUAUAGAAAACACUUCCUUAUAAGUGUUAUGAAAUAGGACUGCUAUGGUAUAAAAACUCAGUAUUCAAAUUAAGAAACAUAAAGGAUGAGAAGAAAGAAAAAUAAAUAAAAAGUGAAAUAUGAGAACUGUGGUAGAGAGCCAAUGAAAAGUUGGCUACUGAACAGUAGUAUUCUUGGAGGGAAACCAGAAUAAAUGCAAUGAAAACUUUAUUCAAAGAUAUCAAUAGUUUCUAAGGAAGGAAACAUUCUUAGAUUAAAAAUGGGUAUGAACUGUAUUGGGCGAGGGAGAAUACUUUUAGGCACAAUGAUCAAAAAGAUACUAUUGCCCUAAAUGCGAUGUCCCUAUCAGAUCCAUCCCCUUAGGGCUCGGAACCCUGAAGAAGAGGCGGUGGAAAGAGUGUCCUUUGUGUAUACAGCAUGGCUACUGGUAUAGUGUUGUUAUGAGAUGCCUGAGUGUGUCAAUGAGUGGGUCUCUGCAUCUACAUGUUGUUUGUGCCUUUUCUUGAGCAUUUUCUUGUGCUAGUUUUGUCCUAUCUUGAUGCACUAGUUUUAAUCUUCUUAUUAUAUUACAUUGUACUAUGUUUUGUCAUUAUCCCUUAGAAGCCUGACUAUUUCGAAUGAGAGACAGGAAGUGGGUAGAGCCAGAUGGGAGAGUUGGAGAGGAGGGAAUAGAGGUGGGGAAACAUGACCAAGAUACAUUAUGUGAGGAAAAACAAACAAAAGCUAUUUUCAAUAAAAGGGAAAAAAAGAAAAUAAAGAAGUCUUAAAAAAACAAUGACAUCAAGUAAAAUUACAUAAUGAUAUGUUUCUGUAGAGGCAUAAAAAAGGACUUUCAUUUUAGUGGCUAAUUUCUCUUGCUUACAGUUUCUACUAUGAGCAAGGCACGGAUGACUUGGAGUCACAAUGAUAUGGCAUAGCUACUAUCCUCAGGAUCUCCAAGUGUAGCUAAGCAGUAAUAGCUAGAGACAGGCAGUCAGUACAUCCUAGAUAGAGUAACCUAAAUCCUAUGAAACACACAAGGAACCACAACAUCACCUAGGAGAGCAUGCCAACAGAUAUAAAGACAGAGUGUGGCCAAACAGGCUGCAGAAGAGUGGUAAAUGCUACAGAGGCACAGGCAGAAAAAAACUGAAAAGUGUCCAGAGAACUUGAUUGGUACACCGGGAAGAGGAGGUGGUGGAGGGCAGGGAGGACCCUGGUAAGCUUAGUUUUAGCAGACAAUGUAGAGGUAGACACAGUGAUGGGUUCUACUUUCAAAAACAAAGCUUUGAAGCUGAGAAAAAAGGGCAGGUUUAAAAUGAAGAGGUUUGAUGUGACAUUCCCCUCUGUAUGCUGUGAAUAUGUUUUUAUAACUAUUGGUUA